UAUGGGCAAUAAAAAGCAAAAAAUAAGAGACUUCCAGCGAUGGCUAGCUGCAAGGCGCCUUUGUCCUUGUUGGCACCUCCUGCACAGGGAGGGUUUGAUGGCUCUUCAUCAGUGGAGGAACCUCGUGUAAUGGCAGACCGGUAAAUGGACGCGGAAAUGAACGUCACAAACUUCAAAUAAAUCUUUUAGAGUUGACGGCAGUCUUUCGGGCCCUGGAACAUUUUCUCCCGUUAUUGAAAAGGUUAAUUUGGUCUAGGACUAGGCUUAAUCUCUGACCAGAAAACCAUCCCAAUACGUUUAAGUAGUAUACAGUAUGGCUUUCUCAAGCCAACAUAAUCACUGGUCAUGCUAUUGAUAGAUACAUAAUCAGCUCUUAGUUGUAUGGCAGUUUCAGUCUUGAGUAGCACAUUACGACAAUACACCACAUUUUGUACACCGAUUGAUCGCUAUUGAUGUAGUAAAUGAUCAGGCAUUGUCAUUUUGUUUAUGUCCAUCACGCCUGGAGCACAAAACAAAAUGCUUUUAAGGUUUAAAGCUUGGUCAUCCAUCAUUCGGGUCCAUUUCCUUACCGGCCACCACACCAUACUUCU